CAGUAGCCGCGGUAACACGGAGGGUGCAAGCGUUAAUCGGAAUUACUGGGCGUAAAGCGCACGCAGGCGGUUUGUUAAGUCAGAUGUGAAAUCCCUGAGCUUAACUUGAGAACUGCAUUUGAAACUGGCGAGCUAGAGUCUUGUAGAGGGGGGUAGAAUUCCAGGUGUAGCGGUGAAAUGCGUAGAGAUCAGGAGGAAUACCGGUGGCGAAGGCGGCCCCCUGGACAAAGACUGACGCUCAGGUGCGAAAGCGUGGGGAGCAAACAGGAUUAGAUACCCCAGUAGUCCCUGUCUCUUAUAC
rnacentral:rRNA from 1 species